CAUUUCUGAUGUGUCGGUGAUGGGCUUGUGUGUUGGAGCGAACCUUAGUUCGUGAAUUUAUUAUAUUAGUGUGCUGAAAAACUCCUACAUUAGUGUGCUAAAAAAAUUCCAGAGAUGUUAAUAUUCACUGUGGUGUCGUUACAUUCAUAGAAAAAUCAUUCAAUAGAUUUUUGAGUCGUUAGAAAACUGCUAUAGAGCCUGUGACUGGAAAAGGUAUACGUGGUAAUUAGUAGGUAGUUGCAACUUGCAUUUCAUAGAUGAAUUCCUGUACCUGUACAGGCUGUACUGAUUUGAAGUAGAAGGGCUACCAGCCUACCAAUGACCAAUCAGCAAGUUGGAGGGGCGCUCCCGGAAUCCAAAGAAUUCCCUCUGACAAUUCUCAAAUCUCGCAUCUGAGAAUCCUUCCUCGGAGCUCUCUGUUGAUUUUCAAUAAAGGAUCUGUUUCUGCACAAUAUCGAGACAAAUAUUUAACAAAGACCCUUUGAAAUUCUAUCGCUAGUGGCUCCCUGGUCGACAGCCUCUCGAGAAAGCAAGCCAAUUCCAGCCGCGCCUGUUAAGCUACGCUCCUGAUUUCAUCCAAUUUGAGUGAAAGUGAGACCACUGCGCCCGCUUCUCCGUUUUAGCAUACAGUGCAAUGGAUCCCGAACUUACAAUAAACUUCCCCUGGGGGAAAUUCAUCUACUUGGGUGAACGAUUGAGAAAUGGCAGAUAAAAAUAAAUACAUAGUAAUAUCUGGACACAUCUGAUUACUUUGUAACAUGUAUAUUUCUAAGUGAUAAAGCGAGUAAAAAGACGAGACCGUGGCCGUUUGCCUGCCCUGACAAAAAGCUUUUUUUUUUUUGCAACGCCGCCUCCAUUCGACGCUUGAUAAGGCAAUUCCGGCCGACGUACUUCGACAUCAAAAACCUGAGUCACUUGGAAUUUUUUUAUUUCAUAAUCAAGCUCUAAAUUAUAUACGUGACGAGACUUGUGUCAUCACUCUGUCAGAAUUCAUGGGACUUCAUUUUCGCUUAGCCAUGAUAGUUUUUACGAUUUUUUUUUUAAACUAUCGAGCGCGUGUUGACUAUUUCCCAUUAACUUCAAACGCGGGAGAAAUUUUAAGUGACUUGUGUUAUUUUUAUAGUAGAAAUUGGUUAUCCUCUGAAUAUUCAUAAUGAAUUUAUGUUGGCGGCGCAGCCCCACACGACUUUCAUGUACCGACCAAAUGGAGCGGAAUUCGAAAUGUGCGAAUAAAAUAAAGUUGAGUUAGUAUAAUUAAAUAAAAUUUGUAUACGUAUUGAUAUUGUACGAAUGCCAAUGAAUAUAAUUUUUUUACGAAAAAAAUUAUACAAGAAAAAUUAUUCCCUUGUAUUAUUUUAGCCAAAUGCUAUUUUUAGUUGUGCACGGCAUUGCUACAAUCUUGAUGGACGUAAAUUAUCGUAAUAUGAUUCAGUCAAAUUAUUGUCGAAGUUGCGUAGGCCUAUUUCUCAAUUUUUCACGCCCUGACUACCGUUUGCGACAAUGAGACCAAGGCGCCCUAAAGCAACCUUCAACAAAACGCGUUAACUAAUAAAUCGUUAAUUAUUCUAGUAAUAUUUAUUAUAGUACCUUUAGCUGGUAUGGUAUCACCUAAGCAAUUCACGGCAAUCUGAAUAAUUCAAAUUUUAAUUCAUAAAUUGAAAGUUACGCCGCACCACUUCCAAGUUAUGCUUUACCAAGAGUUUACCAUCACUAAGUUUUACAGUGAAGUUAAAGUGUGACUUGGCCCGCUACACAACUUAUAUAUUUUGUAUACGAGAUUGACUCGCGCAUUUGUUUUCUGUGUGAUGAAAUUUAAUACAUUUUCUAUACGA